UCCCUGGUGGCCUAGUGGGUAAGGAUCCAGUGUUGUCACUACUGUGGCUCAGGUUCAAUCCCUGGCAUGGGAA
rnacentral:tRNA from 1 species